GGCGUGACAUAUAAAUAUAUAGACCACUAUAUUUUAAUAUAAAAAUACAUAUUUUUUAAAAUUUAAUUAUUUAAUUCUUUAUUAAAAAAAUACAUAUAUUUCUAUUAGUUAAUUAAAAUUAAGAAAACCUUUAAAGCAAGCGGCGAACAGUGUUAGGUAUUUCUAAAUUGAAAAAUAAUAUGAAUGAAAUAAUACUUAAUAUUUAGUCAAGUAGUAUUUAAUUGUUUUGAUGUUUAAAACUUUAAUUUAGUAGUUAUGUGAUUAAAAUUAAUUUCUUUAUUAUCAAGAUUUAUGGGAAAUUGGAAAAUACUAAAGAUAUUUAACUCAUUAAAUUAUCACACACAAAACUAAAUAUACAAAACAAUAAUACAAGUAUAAAAAAAAAAAAACAAA